rnacentral:rRNA from 1 species
UACGUAGGGUGCAAGCGUUGUCCGGAAUUAUUGGGCGUAAAGAGCUUGUAGGCGGUUUGUCGCGUCUGCUGUGAAAUUUCGGGGCUCAACCCCGAACUUGCAGUGGGUACGGGCAGACUAGAGUGUGGUAGGGGAGACUGGAAUUCCUGGUGUAGCGGUGAAAUGCGCAGAUAUCGAGAGGAACACCUGCGGCGAAGGCGGGUUGCUGGGCUGACACUGACGCUGGAUGUGCGAAAGCUAGGGGAGCGAACGGG